UAGCAGUUGCACUUACACCUCCAUUGGGAGCAAGGAGGGCUGCAUCGAGAUCAUCCGAUCUGCAAAUUCCAUGUCCUUUCCCAAAGGAGACAUUUGGUGGAGUUAUUGGGUUACCUCUCCCCCUCACCUUUUUGUAAUUCACUCCUGUUUACUUUUUCUCCUCCUUUCCCCAAGUUUAUUACAGCUGCUUGGGCAGAGGAAAUGAAUUAACAUAAUUUACUAGUUUUAGAGCAAGACACAUUCCCUGCAUGUACGUACGCACAUGCAGCUGCCCUCCCAGUGCCGUGCAGAGGAGCGUGUUUACAGAGUCUGGGUCCAUUUAGGGAGAACAAUACCCCGAUUAUGGAGGGCAGCCUUUUAUUCCCAGAAACCAGAAGGAACCACUCGCCUAAAGUAGCUACUGCUCCUUGAAGGCACAGGCGUGCAAGCUGCUGGAAUAGGGAAUAAAUCUGUUGUAGACACAAACCAGCAGCAUUGUUUGCGGCGGAAGUUGAUUUAGGGCUGGGGGUAAGAAAUGGUCUUAGGACAAACCAAGCACCAAGUUUAAGAUCUAUCAGUGUGGAGAGAGGUGUUGUAGUUGCCAAUCCGAUUUCUGAGUAAUAGCUGUGAGAUUUGUGUUUAGUCUGGAGUGAGGGGAGACCUCGUUGGUCUCUACAGCAGCGGGGAUGGUGUCAGUCUCUUUUCUCAGAUGACAAGCGGAUGCAAGGAAACAGGCUCAAGUUGCACCAAGGGAGGUUUAUAUUAGAUAUUAGGAAGAAUUUUGUCAGAAAGAUUGUGCUCAAGCAUUGGAGCAGGCUGCUCAGGGCGAUGGCAGAGUCCCCAUCCCUGGAGGUAUUUAAGACAUGUGGAUGUGGCACUAAGGGGUUAGUGGCAGGAUUUGGUAGAUCAGAUUGAUGGUUGGAUUUGGUGAUCCUGAAGGUUUCUUUCAACCUAGAUGAUUCUAUGAUUUCAAGGGGAGUUAUUUGGUGCUUUCUGAGCUAAUAAGGCUCUAGGGAGUCUGGGUGGAAAGGUGGCAAAUGAGCCUCCAACAAUACUUGGAUCACUUCUUGGAUCACUACAGCUGAUCACUUCUAAUUGCAAUCAUGCACCUGUUACUGGCAGAUAAUGCUGGAGCCAUGUCAUGUAGAGCAUUUGCUUCAUGGGAUUUUUGGGAAAGGUCAAGCAUUUGAUUGCUGUCCUGCUAAAUUGGAUCAUUAGCAGCACAAAUAGGACCACCUUCUCUGCCCAAUUACAGCUGCUUGGAUCCUGGCAGUAAAUGCUUCUCAGGUGUGAAAUCAUGGCAACUGAAGACAAAAGAAAUUGAUUCUAGCACCACCCUGCCCUUCUUCUGCAUUGCUCCUAGCCUUGGAUGUCUCUUGUGCUGGUGUGAAGUUCUACUGGCCUUGCUGUUAGUUGUUUUGGGAAGCUGGAGCCAACACAGAAAAGAAUGUGGAGGGCUCUGGACUUUGGAGGAGUAGGAACAUUUAUCGCGUAGCCCCUGCGGAGUGUAAAAUGCAGUAGGGCCCUUGAGGAGAAACGCCUAUUAACCUGAUCUUAUCUGAGCAGUUUGGACUGUACUGGGCGGGCAGUAAUUAUUCCUCUUUGUUGCUGUUGGUUUGUCUUGGUAGGAGGGUGGUUCAUUUCUGACCCUUCUGUACUGGGACUCAGACUACAUCAGGCUUUCCCUUGCUCUCAGUUCUCAUCUCAAACAUGUUUCAUCCCUCUGUGUCCCCUCAGUUAUGUCUCCAUGGGGUUUUAAGUCACAGUUGCCGUGUGUUUUGUCCGAAGAAGCCCCAGAGAAGGCCAAAAUCGCAAAGGAAUGAAAUGUAUGAUCUUCCAAGUGGUCUCUUUGUUCUCUCUUUUGGACAAAUGUAGCUCUCUUUCUUUCUCACUUAAAAACAAACAAACAAAACAAAACAAAAAAAAAACAACACCACCCUAAAAACAGCCCAACCCAAAAUAGGUUGAGCUGGGACGUCUAAGAACUGACUAGGGAUGCAAAGGCCUGUGGUCCUGUACCCUUGAGACAGUAAUCGAAUAACAGCAUAGAAGAAGAAGCCUGAAUGAAUUUUAACAUCUUCUUGAUGACAGUCUUUCUGUUCGUGUUCUUAUAACCUAUUUCCCUUUUAUCUUUGCAAGACUAAUGCAUAUAAUGCAUUUAAUUGUUAAAUAGCUAAAAACAAAAAAACAAACAAAAACAAACAACAAAAAAAAAAAAAACACCAAAAAACUCCAUUAUGAGUUGAAGAUGAAAAAUGCACCAAAGUAAUUGAAAGAGCUUUCUUUUGUAAGUAUCCCUGCUUAAAACCAGAGCUUGGCCAUCUUUCUGUGUCAUGUGUUGGAUGAUAUUUUGCUUCAGGACAGAGAUAUUAAGGCAGAACUGGAGGAGGAUGACAGCAUUUAAAGUAUUUUAUUUUGCUCUUGGAACACGUGUCAGCAAAUGUGUCAGGUAGGUUUUGCAUUAUGCAAUAGAUACAGCAUAAUGCACAGCUGUUUUUAUAGGCAGUGUAACAUUUUAGUCCUAGGGGUUUAGUGCCCAGAAGAUACAGCUGUGUACAAAGCCUGAGUCCCAUGGUGGAACAGGUGCAAAGGUGCAGCUUAUGCAUGCACUGAGGGGUUUGUAGAGCACACUUGUGUGAUUUGUAUUCAGUGACCGCAAUUCCACUCUUGCCCUCUCUGCUGAGUACGGAGUUGGUAGAUUUUAGGGAGAAUUGGGCAUUAUGCCGUGAUUAUUUUUGAUGAUAAUUGUGGUGAGAUUCCUUGAAAGGAGGGGAAAAAAAAAUAAAUCAGUUACAAUUUUUCAGGUAGCAGCAAAGUGUUUGCAUGCUAACAACAAGGUCUGCCUGCACCCAAGCGUUACUCCAUGUCCUGCUGGAGCCCACCUUGGUUUCUGUUCCCUCCCAGAGCAGAGCAAAGAAACGCCAACCUAAAUUUUUGGAACCCUAGGGAGGGAAAAAGCAUUGAGAAAUACCAAUUUCCACACAUACACACAAAAAAAGAGAGGUUCUUCCAAAAGAUUUCAUUUUGCUUGGAAAGGCUGUGGUGGCUGUUGAAAGGGCAUUUGGAUGGAAAAGGGCCAAGCAGCCCUAGGCAUAACCAACACCCUCAAUUGAGAAAUAUUUUCAAACAGCAGUGUUGUUAAGAAGUAAUUAAAGUCAAAUAAAACAAGGAAAAUAAUUUAUGACAUGUACUUGAAUUCGUCCUGGUUUGAAUCCACUGAAACUCAUGUAGCGUGACACUGGAGACGUGCAAGGGGAAGAACAAAAACAAGUUUUUCAAUGCACUUUUGUAACUAUAGAAGUUUCUGACCUCAUACAUCAUUUCAACCAAGUGUUUAAGCACAGACUUACUAUUAAGCACCCUAGAAUCCCUUUUAUUCAAAGAAAUGCAUGCGGAGAACCCAUUACAUUGCUUAUUUGAAAUGUGGAGGACCUAAGCAUAGGUUGAAGUGGUAGCAAUUAUUUUGGGAGAUUUCUAACCCUGUUGGUUUUUUCUUUUCCAUUAAAAUAAGUUUUCUAGAAUCAUGAAAACUAGGGAAAUAGUUCAGUUUUCAGGUGGGGGAGGGGAAGAGACCACGAGUCCUGAGAGUUCUGGAGGACAGAUAGAAAAUAUGAGUUGUGCAACUUUAGGCAACAGAAGGAAAAUAAGGAAGUAACUUUUGUAUAACUUCUCUAAACCAAUAGUGCUAUUUUAGAGCCUAUUUUAUAAUUUUUGUAUUCUUGAGAUUGGCUGUACUCCUGUUGUGUGAGGGCCUGAGCCUGGAUAGGAGAGCAGUUUGCAGUUUUCAUUGCUUCAUCCCUCUGCCUUUCCUGCAGAGCUAUCUUGAUUGAAAUGUGGAGGAGGAAAAAGAGAAGAAAAGAACACUUCUGGUGGCCAACUGUGUCACUUCAAUUUUUGCUAGUUCUUGAGGAAGAUUUGUGAGGAUGGUCCAUGGGGGAAAGGUUCAGGUCAGAGGUAGAAAUCUGCUUGCCCCAUAUCGGAGGCAUUUAUAAUGCCAGGACAGCUCUCUGGAGAGUGUCCAUCUGUCUGUCCUUUCCUCUGGGGUUGACAAGAGGCAGACAGCCUCCCCCCCAGCUGCUCCCUCUGUCAUGUUACAAAUGAGAUGCUGAAACGCAGCCCUUGGCCUUGAGACAGCUCUUCUCUUUCUUGUUCAUUCUGCCCAUCAAUUAAUGUCACAUAAAGGUGUUUUACAACUAUUUUAUAACUUUUUAAAGAGAGAGACCCUUGUGAGGGGAAGUCCAACCCCUGUGCGGGGUGGCUGCCAAAAUCUGUGUGUGGUAAGUUAUGCUCAGGAGCUCUGCUUGUGGUGGCUUACCAACCAGAAUGAAAAAACAGUACUCUAGCAUCCAAGUUCUUCAGCAGAUAGUUUAUCUGUAAAGAGAGGAUCUUGUAAGCAAGGGUAGAGAAAAUCCAACUUUUCCUGUCUCAGCAGGGCAGUAGUUCUUAACACCAGUGUGGAAGUGGUCCUCUAUCUUUGCCCAGUUCUGAUGCACUUGGUAGUUCUUUGAAACUGUUGGAGUGGGUCCAGUGGGGGCUGUAAGUAUGCACGGAGGCUGGAGUAUUUCUCCCCUGGAGACAUGCUGAGAGCUAGGGGUGUUCAACUUGGCAAAGAGAAGACUCUGGGGAGGCUUUACUGUGGCUGUUCAGGACCUGAAUGGUCUGGAAUGAAAUCUGGAAGGGGACCCUUUACCAGCGGGUGUAGUAAUGGGACAAGAGGGAACAGCUUUGAACUUCUUCUUUUUUUU